UCUAAGUUUGAUGGCGACCGGCGCACGGGUGAGUAACACGUAUCCAACCUGCCGAUGACUCGGGGAUAGCCUUUCGAAAGAAAGAUUAAUACCCGAUGGCAUAGUUCUUCCGCAUGGUGGAACUAUUAAAGAAUUUCGGUCAUCGAUGGGGAUGCGUUCCAUUAGGUUGUUGGCGGGGUAACGGCCCACCAAGCCUUCGAUGGAUAGGGGUUCUGAGAGGAAGGUCCCCCACAUUGGAACUGAGACACGGUCCAAACUCCUACGGGAGGCGCAUG
rnacentral:rRNA from 1 species